AAAAAAGGUAAGCUACUAAGAGCGAAUGGUGGAUGCCUUGACUGGUAAAGGCGAUGAAGGACGUACUAGACUGCGAUAAGCUACGGGGAGCUGUCAAGAAGCUUUGAUCCGUAGAUUUCCGAAUGGGGCAACCCAAUGUAUAGAGAUAUACAUUACCUAUAUAGGAGCGAACGAGGGGAAUUGAAACAUCUUAGUACCCUCAGGAAAAGAAAUCAAUAGAGAUUGCGUCAGUAGCGGCGAGCGAAAGCGCAAGAGGGCAAACCCAGUGCUUGCACUGGGGGUUGUAGGACUGCAAUGUGCAAGAGGUAAGUUUAGCAGAACAUUCUGGAAAGUAUAACCAUAGAGGGUGAUAGUCCCGUAUGCGAAAAACAAACCUUAGCUAGCAGUAUCCUGAGUAGGGCGGGACACGAGGAAUCCUGUCUGAAUCCGGGUCGACCACGAUCCAACCCUAAAUACUAAUACCAGAUCGAUAGUGCACAAGUACCGUGAGGGAAAGGUGAAAAGAACUGAGGUGAUCAGAGUGAAAUAGAACCUGAAACCAUUUGCUUACAAUCAUUCAGAGCACUAUGUAGCAAUACAGUGUGAUGGACUGCCUUUUGCAUAAUGAGCCUGCGAGUUGUGGUGUCUGGCAAGGUUAAGCAAACGCGAAGCCGUAGCGAAAGCGAGUCUGAAUAGGGCGCUUAGUCAGAUGCUGCAGACCCGAAACGAAGUGAUCUAUCCAUGAGCAAGUUGAAGCUAGUGUAAGAACUAGUGGAGGACUGAACCCAUAGGCGUUGAAAAGCCCCGGGAUGACUUGUGGAUAGGGGUGAAAGGCCAAUCAAACUUCGUGAUAGCUGGUUCUCUCCGAAAUAUAUUUAGGUAUAGCGUUGUGUCGUAAUAUAAGGGGGUAGAGCACUGAAUGGGCUAGGGCAUACACCAAUGUACCAAACCCUAUCAAACUCCGAAUACCUUAUAUGUAAUCACAGCAGUCAGGCGGCGAGUGAUAAAAUCCGUCGUCAAGAGGGAAACAACCCAGACUACCAGCUAAGGUCCCUAAAUCUUACUUAAGUGGAAAACGAUGUGAAGUUACUUAAACAACCAGGAGGUUGGCUUAGAAGCAGCCAUCCUUUAAAGAAAGCGUAAUAGCUCACUGGUCUAGUGAUUUUGCGCGGAAAAUAUAACGGGGCUAAAGUAAGUACCGAAGCUGUAGACUUGCACACAACUUAGAUUAUUUAAGUUUAGAAUAUGAGAAACUAAGUUAUAUGUUUAGUUAUAUUUUUACUGAUUUUUAUAGAGUAAAGAUAGAAAUAAAACUUAGUAAAAUCAGUAAAAAUAUUCUUAGACUAAAGUUAAGUAGUUUAAGUUGUGUGCAAGUGGUAGGAGAGCGUUCUAUUUGCGUCGAAGGUAUACCGGUAAGGAGUGCUGGAGCGAAUAGAAGUGAGCAUGCAGGCAUGAGUAGCGAUAAUUAAUGUGAGAAUCAUUAACGCCGUAAACCCAAGGUUUCCUACGCGAUGCUCGUCAUCGUAGGGUUAGUCGGGUCCUAAGUCGAGUCCGAAAGGGGUAGACGAUGGCAAAUUGGUUAAUAUUCCAAUACCAACAUUAGUGUGCGAUGGAAGGACGCUUAGGGCUAAGGGGGCUAGCGGAUGGAAGUGCUAGUCUAAGGUCGUAGGAGGUUGUACAGGCAAAUCCGUAUAACAAUACUCCGAGAACUGAAAGGCUUUUUGAAGUCUUCGGAUGGAUAGAAGAACCCCUGAUGCCGUCGAGCCAAGAAAAGUUUCUAAGUUUAGCUAAUGUUGCCCGUACCGUAAACCGACACAGGUGGGUGGGAUGAGUAUUCUAAGGCGCGUGGAAGAACUCUCUUUAAGGAACUCUGCAAAAUAGCACCGUAUCUUCGGUAUAAGGUGUGGUUAGCUUUGUAUUAGGAUUUACUCCGAAAGCAAGGAAACUUACAACAAAGAGUCCCUCCCGACUGUUUACCAAAAACACAGCACUCUGCUAACUCGUAAGAGGAUGUAUAGGGUGUGACGCCUGCCCGGUGCUCGAAGGUUAAUUGAUGGGGUUAGCAUUAGCGAAGCUCUUGAUCGAAGCCCGAGUAAACGGCGGCCGUAACUAUAACGGUCCUAAGGUAGCGAAAUUCCUUGUCGGUUAAAUACCGACCUGCAUGAAUGGCGUAACGAGAUGGGAGCUGUCUCAAAGAGGGAUCCAGUGAAAUUGUAGUGGAGGUGAAAAUUCCUCCUACCCGCGGCAAGACGGAGAGACCCCGUGGACCUUUACUACAGCUUGACACUGCUACUUGGAUAAGAAUGUGCAGGAUAGGUGGGAGGCUUUGAGUAUAUGACGCCAGUUGUAUAUGAGCCAUUGUUGAGAUACCACUCUUUCUUAUUUGGGUAGCUAACCAGCUUGAGUUAUCCUCAAGUGGGACAAUGUCUGGUGGGUAGUUUGACUGGGGCGGUCGCCUCCCAAAUAAUAACGGAGGCUUACAAAGGUUGGCUCAGAACGGUUGGAAAUCGUUCGUAGAGUAUAAAGGUAUAAGCCAGCUUAACUGCAAGACAUACAAGUCAAGCAGAGACGAAAGUCGGUCUUAGUGAUCCGGUGGUUCUGUGUGGAAGGGCCAUCGCUCAAAGGAUAAAAGGUACCCCGGGGAUAACAGGCUGAUCUCCCCCAAGAGCUCACAUCGACGGGGAGGUUUGGCACCUCGAUGUCGGCUCAUCGCAUCCUGGGGCUGGAGCAGGUCCCAAGGGUAUGGCUGUUCGCCAUUUAAAGCGGUACGCGAGCUGGGUUCAGAACGUCGUGAGACAGUUCGGUCCCUAUCUGCCGUGGGCGUAAGAAGAUUGAAGAGAUUUGACCCUAGUACGAGAGGACCGGGUUGAACAAACCACUGGUGUAGCUGUUGUUCUGCCAAGAGCAUCGCAGCGUAGCUAAGUUUGGAAAGGAUAAACGCUGAAAGCAUCUAAGCGUGAAGCCAACUCUAAGAUGAAUCUUCUCUAAGCUCUCUAGAAGACUACUAGUUUGAUAGGCUGGGUGUGUAAUGGAUGAAAGUCCUUUAGCUGACCAGUACUAAUAGAGCGUUUGGCUUAUCUUUAAUAAAGCAU
rnacentral:rRNA from 1 species